CACCUGCCGGCGACCGGCGCACGGGUGAGUAACACGUAUGCAACCUGCCCCUGUCAGGGGGACAACCCGCCGAAAGGCGGGCUAAACCCGCGUACAUGCCACCGGGGCAUCCCGGAGGCAGGAAAGGCUUCGGCCGGACAGGGAUGGGCAUGCGGCGCAUUAGGCAGUAGGCGGGGUAACGGCCCACCUAACCGACGAUGCGUAGGGGUUCUGAGAGGAAGGUCCCCCACACUGGUACUGAGACACGGACCAGACUCCUACGGAAGGCAGCAG
rnacentral:rRNA from 1 species